UGAGGAAUAUUGCGCAAUGGGGGCAACCCUGACGCAGCGACGCCGCGUGAGUGAGGAAGGCCUUCGGGUCGUAAAGCUCUGUCAAAGGGAAAGAAGUGCAUGGUGGCUAAUACCUGCCACGUUUGACGGUACCCUUAAAGGAAGCACCGGCUAACUCCGUGCCAGCAGCCGCGGUAAUACGGAGGGUGCAAGCGUUGUUCGGAAUCACUGGGCGUAAAGGGCGCGUAGGCGGUUGGAUGUGUCGGUUGUGAAAUCCCCGGGCUCAACUCGGGAAUUGCUUCCGAAACUAUCUGACUUGAGGCAUUUUUUGGGUGACUGGAACUCUUGGUGGAGCGGUGACAUGCGUAGAGAUCAAGAGGAACGCCGGUGGUGAAGACGGGUCACUGGAAAUGUCCUGACGCUGAGGCGCGAAAGCUAGGGGAGCGAACA
rnacentral:rRNA from 1 species